AAUGGGUUUUUAUUCCUAU
rnacentral:miRNA from 1 species